rnacentral:rRNA from 1 species
UACAGAGGGUGCGAGCGUUAUCCGGAUUCACUGGGUUUAAAGGGUGCGUAGGCGGGCAGGUAAGUCCGGGGUGAAAUCUCUGAGCUUAACUCAGAAACUGCCAUGGAUACUAUUUGUCUUGAAUAUUGUGGAGGUAAGCGGAAUAUGUCAUGUAGCGGUGAAAUGCUUAGAUAUGACAUAGAACACCAAUUGCGAAGGCAGCUUACUACACAGUAAUUGACGCUGAGGCACGAAAGCGUGGGGAUCAAACAGG